AUUGAACGCUGGCGGCAGGCCUAACACAUGCAAGUCGAGCGGAUGAAGGGAGCUUGCUCCUGGAUUCUGCGGCGGACGGGUGAGUAAUGCCUAGGAAUCUGCCUGGUAGUGGGGGAUAACGUCCGGAAACGGGCGCUAAUACCGCAUACGUCCUGAGGGUGAAAGUGGGGGAUCUUCGGACCUCACGCUAUCAGAUGAGCCUAGGUCGGAUUAGCUAGUUGGUGGGGUAAAGGCUUACCAAGGCGACGAUCCGUAACUGGUCUGAGAGGAUGAUCAGUCACACUGGAACUGAGACACGGUCCAGACUCCUACGGGAGGCAGCAGUGGGGAAUAUUGGGCAAUGGGCGAAAGCCUGAUCCAGCCAUGCCGCGUGUGUGAAGAAGGUCUUCGGAUUGUAAAGCACUUUAAGUUGGGAGGAAGGGCAGUAAGUUAAUACCUUGCUGUUUUGACGUUACCAACAGAAUAAGCACCGGCUAACUUCGUG
rnacentral:rRNA from 1 species